rnacentral:lncRNA from 1 species
CCCCUUUUCACUUGGGGCACAGUCUGGGAAAUUGCUCAUUCCACAGAAAGCACCAAGUGAGGUUCGCAAUCUUGGAAAGUACUGCUGAACCAGUAUUUUCACUUCUUCUUUUUUAGUUGGUGGGGGGAGGCAUUCUCAGAGGAGAGGCAAAGAGAAACCAUGCCUGGAAACUGGCAAGAAGGGAAAUGUUUGUGAAAUUGUGGGGGCUGAAAUGAGUAGCACACCUAGUUUAAUAACUCGAGGGGGUACCUGACAGUUGUCAUUAUUUUCUUCCUGUUAAGAGACUAAAAAAAGGGGGGUAAAGGAAUUUAGCACCACUCUUAGGCAUCUUCUCCAGCUUCCUGGCUGGCUAAAAGGUAAAGGGACCCCUGACCAUUAGGUCCAGUCAUGGCCGACUCUGGGGUUGCGGCGCUCAUCUCGCUUUAUUGGCCGAGGGAGCCAGCAUACAACUUCCCAGUCAUGUGGCCAGCAUGACUAAGCUGCUUCUGGCAGACCAGAGCAGCGCAUGGAAAGGCCGCAAGUAUUUAUCUACUUGCACUGGUGUGCUUUCAAACUGCUAGGUUGGCAGGAGCAGGGACCGAACAACGGGAGCUCAACCCUUCGUGGGGAUUCGAACCACUGACCUUCUGAUCGGCAAGUCCUAGGCUCUGUGGUUUAACCCACAGCGCCACCCGCGUCCUCCGGACUGGCUGCACACCCUCAAAUGCCAAGAUCUCUCCACCAAGUCAGCAGGAGCUCGGCUCUAUCAAGCAUCCCAGGGAGAAGGGGUUGUUUAAGAGCCUUAUCUGGGCCAACCAGCUGGGGGAACAUGGAUGGUAUCACAAGCCAGUAAACCAUCCCUUUAACUGCCGCACUAAAUUCUGUGCGACUCCAACCCCUCUUUGUCAUAGAGGUGACUGGAAACCUUUGAGCAACAAAAUGUCAAAGAGAUAUAUAUCAUUCCACUUUAUGGGGCCGGAUCGGAGAGGCUCUGGGAAACUUCUUUGAACUUUUCCUCCCUGCACAUACCUGUCACAUUGGGAAAGCCAAAGGAGUUCAAUUUACACCAGAUGCAUGUAAAAACUAAUCAGUACUUCUUUUUCUGGCUGUGCUCG